GGGGCGGAACGGAUGGCCGCCGGUCGGGAGAGUCCACGUGGCGCUCGGAAGGGUUGCCGCAUGGGAACGCCCCGACGGGAGGAAAGUCCGGGCUCCGCAGGGUGCGAUGGUGGGUAACGCCCACCGGCCGUGAGGUCAGGGAAAGUGCCACAGAAAACAGACCGCCGGCGGGGAAACUCGCCGGUAAGGGUGAAACGGUGAGGUAAGAGCUCACCAGCGGACCGGGUGACCGGUCCGGCUCGGUAAACCCCAUCGGGAGCAAGGCCAAGCAGGGGGGAGUCGGCCGCAAGGUCGCCACGGAACGGCCCGUUCCGUCCCACCCCCGGGUCGGCUGCCAGAGGCGCCGGGUAACCGGCGUCCUAGAGAAAUGGUCAUCACCGCGCCGCCUCCGGCGGUGCGGAACAAAACCCGGCUUACAGGUCCGCCCCGUCC
rnacentral:RNase_P_RNA from 1 species